rnacentral:rRNA from 1 species
AAACCAGCACCUCAAGUGGUCAGGAGGUUUAUUGGGCCUAAAGCAUCCGUAGCCUGAUCUAUAAGUUUCCGGUUAAAUCCACAUGCUCAACAUUUGGGCUGCCGGAAAAACUGUAGAUCUAGGGAGUGGGAGAGGUAGACGGUACUCGGUAGGAAGGGGUAAAAUCCUUUGAUCUAUUGAUGACCACCAGUGGCGAAGGCGGUCUACCAGAACACGUUCGACGGUGAGGGAUGAAAGCUGGGGGAGCAAACCGGAUUAGAAACCCCAGUAGUCC